UAACUUCCACAGAGUGGUAGGCCCCAGGCUGGGCUGGGUGAGCACUUCUUUAAAAGGCUCACCCUUAAGCAUAAGUAAGAGA
rnacentral:pre_miRNA from 1 species